ACGCACGCUGGCGGCAUGCCUCACACGUGCCAGUCGCACGAGACCUUCGGGUCUAGUGGCGCACGGGUGCGUAACGCGUGGGAACCUGCCCUUAGGUUCGGAAUAACUCCCCGAAAGGGGUGCUAAUACCGGAUAAUGUCUUCGGACCAAAGAUUUAUCGCCUUUGGAUGGGCCCGCGUUGGAUUAGCUAGUUGGUAGGGUAAAAGCCUACCAAGGCGACGAUCCAUAGCUGGUCUGAGAGGAUGAUCAGCCACACUGGGACUGAGACACGGCCCAGACUCCUACGGGAGGCAGCAGUGGGGAAUAUUGGACAAUGGGCGAAAGCCUGAUCCAGCAAUGCCGCGUGAGUGAUGAAGGCCUUAGGGUUGUAAAGCUCUUUUACCCGGGAUGAUAAUGACAGUACCGGGAGAAUAAGCUCCGGCUAACUCCGUG
rnacentral:rRNA from 1 species